UUGGCUCUUGCAACGAUGAAGAACGCAGCGAAAUGCGAUACCUAGUGUGAAUUGCAGAAUUCCGCGAAUCAUCGAGUCUUUGAACGCAAGUUGCGCCCGAGGCUUGUCCCGAGGGCAUGCCUGCCUGAGCGUC
rnacentral:rRNA from 1 species